rnacentral:rRNA from 1 species
GACGAACGCUGGCGGCGUGCUUAACACAUGCAAGUCGAACGGAAAGGCCCUGCUUUUGUGGGGUGCUCGAGUGGCGAACGGGUGAGUAACACGUGUGUAACCUGCCCUUGACUUUGGGAUAACUUCAGGAAACUGGGGCUAAUACCGGAUAGGAGCUCCUGCUGCAUGGUGGGGGUUGGAAAGUUUCGGCGGUUGGGGAUGGACUCGCGGCUUAUCAGCUUGUUGGUGGGGUAGUGGCUUACCAAGGCUUUGACGGGUAGCCGGCCUGAGAGGGUGACCGGCCACAUUGGGACUGAGAUACGGCCCAGACUCCUACGGGAGGCAGCAGUGGGGAAUAUUGCACAAUGGGCGGAAGCCUGAUGCAGCAACGCCGUGUGCGGGAUGACGGCCUUCGGGUUGUAAACCGCUUUCGCCUGUGACGAAGCGUGAGUGACGGUAAUGGGUAAAGAAGCACCGGCUAACUACGUG